UGUGCCUACGGGGCGCAGCAGUGGGGAAUAUUGGGCAAUGGGCGCAAGCCUGACCCAGCAACGCCGCGUGAAGGAAGAAGGCCCUCGGGUUGUAAACUUCUUUUAUCAGGGACGAAACAAAUGACGGUACCUGAUGAAUAAGCCACGGCUAACUACGUGCCAGCAGCCGCGGUAAUACGUAGGUGGCAAGCGUUAUCCGGAUUUACUGGGUGUAAAGGGCGUGUAGGCGGGAAAGCAAGUCAGAUGUGAAAACCAUGGGCUCAACCUGUGGCCUGCAUUUGAAACUGGUUUUCUUGAGUACUGGG
rnacentral:rRNA from 1 species